rnacentral:lncRNA from 10 species
CUUAAAAACAGGGAAAGAAAAGAAAUAUAUGAGAUUAACAAUAAGUAAAGAAACUUAGACUUAACUUUAACAACAUCAAUAAAAAUUAGAGUUGGAAUUGGAGACUGAUUUGUAAUAACUCUGUCUCCUGUGUGGCUGACCUCAUGUUAAUUAAACUCUUUGCUGCAAUAUCAUGGUAUUAGUGUUUUGGUUUUGUCUGUGCAGCAGGUAGGAAGAACCUGCCAGGCAAUUAUAAAUUUGGGAGCUCACCCAGGAUGUACCCUUGCAGAUGCCUGUCUGAGGUUUGUCAGCCCACUACCGGUACACAGACCUGGAGGUGAAAUCUGGUGGCCACUUGUUUCUCUUGAACUGACGGCCAUCUGUGGUGCUGUCCCUGUUGGGGGCAGUAUUACUGACCUAUAGUGCCUGGACCUAAUUGCAGUGGAGAAAUAGUUCUUGGAAGACAUCUUUAAACUGGUCUGAUACUAAGUUCCCAAGAGCCUGAAAGAGACAUUUGGCUUAUUUGUUAUGUUACAGUCACAAGGAAGCAUUGUCAGAGUCAAGAAAACAUAUUUUCUUUUGAGCCAUUUACAACAUUUAAUAGUUGAGUAAAGUAUACUACCGUGAGAAAAAAUAGAACAUAUCUAUAUGUCUCUACAUGAUUUCUCCAGAAUUUUGAAAAAAUUGCCCAGGAACCCCAAGUUAUUUUUGGACUUCAAGAAGAGAGAAAUUCACUCAAUUUAUACAGGUAUCUGCAGGCACAAAUAAAUCCUUGGCUGGAUUCAAGAGGCUUUUAAAAGACCUAAUUUGAGAUUCCUUAUGAAAAACUUCCAGCAAAGCCAUAAAAAAAAAAAAAAAAAAAAAGCCUAUCUGGCUACAAAUUAGGUCAACUGUGAUAAGACUAAAGCUUAUUUUGCAAAUAAAUUGGUCCUACUCUGAUGUGUCUUUGGCAGAAAUGUAGAGAGAAAAAUUAUGUUUCACAAAAACUAUAGUACACUUAUUAGAUUGCAGCCCUGUUCAUUGUUUUUGAGUCUCUCUGAUGACCCAACAUUUGAUAGGUUCUCGGGGUUAUUCACAUAGAUCUCUCAAGGCUUCGAAUUAGCUCUCUAUGGACUCCUGAAGCUAGGGCUUUCACUCCUGUGAUAGCGCUUACUAAAACUGUGGAUAAGAGUGCCUGAAGCAGCUACAUUGCCUGGGUAUAUACUCUGGGGUUCGUUGUCUCACGCCAGGAAAAUUUAGGACAUGGACACACAGUAGGAGCUUAGGAAUGGAGGUUUAGUAGGCAGAAGAGAAGAGGAAGAGAAACAGCUUUCUUUAUAUAUAGAGAGAGGGGUCUCUGAGCAGAAAGGACCAGCUGGCAGUGG